rnacentral:tRNA from 1 species
GCAGUGGUGGUUCAGUGGUAGAAUUCUUGCCUUCCAUGCAGGAAACCCAGGUUUGAUUCCCAGUCAAUGCA